GAAGGAACAGUCUCAACACAGUCGUUAUCAGGGAGUUUUUGUUCGGCUCCAGCCUUGAGCCCACAGCUGCCGCCGAAGGGGUAGCCAGAUUAUGAUGCUGGAGGGGGCAAUGUUUCUUGUCUUUCCGCGUGAUGGUUCUCCAUACCUGCAGCAGCGGCUGGAUGGGAAUGACCCUCAUUACAACUGUCAGCUGUUGUUUUUGCUGUCUGUUCCCAUUGUUCUGAUCCAAAAGACUUGUGCUGCUGUGACUCUGCAAUGCGCUCUGGGAGUCAAAGUAAGGUUAUCAUCACUGUUAGAAUAACAACGACAUGUUUCACUUCAAUAGAUGCAUUACCGAAUGGGACUGCCAGGUCCCCCUGGGUCCACUAAUAUUUCAUGAUGGAAAGUUACAACUCAAAAAGACAGAAAAUGACCACAAAGAGACCAAAAUCCCCCCAAAAAUUAGUAAAGUGGUCACAAAGACCUUAAGUACCUCUACCUUUGACACAUUGCACCAUACUGCUUCAGCUCCUCAUGUGGGUGGUGGGUGCAGGACCAACCAGAGCCAAGCUGGGCCCUGUGGGUUAGGGCCUAGUCACCAGCACUCUCCCCCAGGUCUGAUUCCAGGGGACUCCCAGUAACCCUGAUCCAAGCAAACUGCCAUUGCCAUGCCAUUGAUAUCUUCUGAAUUGUACUUAGUUUGGCCCUCACCUCAGGUGAGAAAUCAGGUUGCUUUGGGAAACCCAACCAGAGACAAAUUGCUCUGGUAUCAUUAGGGAUA